UGUCCAAGGGUAUUGUGAGAAAAUG
rnacentral:piRNA from 1 species